rnacentral:rRNA from 1 species
AUUGAACGCUGGCGGCAGGCCUAACACAUGCAAGUCGAACGAGUGGCGGACGGGUGAGUAAUGUCUGGGAAACUGCCUGAUGGAGGGGGAUAACUACUGGAAACGGUAGCUAAUACCGCAUACCCUCGGAUGUGCCCAGAUGGGAUUAGCUAGUAGGUGGGGUAACGGCUCACCUAGGCGACGAUCCCUAGCUGGUCUGAGAGGAUGACAGGCCACACUGGAACUGAGACACGGUCCAGACUCCUACGGGAGGCAGCAGUGGGGAAUAUUGCACAAUGGGCGCAAGUCUGAGGCAGCCAUGCCGCGUGUAUGAAGAAGGCCUGCGGGUUGUAAAGUACUUUCAGCGGGGAGGCGUUACCCGCAGAAGAAGCACCGGCUAACUCCGUGCCAGCGGCCGCGGUAAUU